ACCUGGCUGGCUCAGUCAGAAGAGCAUGAGACUCUUGAUCUCAAGGUCCUGAGCUCAAGCCCCAGGCUGGGUG
rfam:Mustela putorius furo unplaced genomic scaffold scaffold00104, whole genome shotgun sequence.